AUACCCAUCCCAUCUCUUCAUCCAAGCAGAGGCCUCACAACAACCCAUGAGAUCGGUGAUGACUACCCCCAUUUGCCAGCUUUCCAGGGAGAGGUCAAGACCAAGACGAUCUUCAGGCCCAAGGGAGGUAGGGAGGAGGCUCGCCGAGCCCACUCCUGGGAAGAGAGGAGGAAACUGAGGCUUGAGGUGGGGCUCAGAAAUGGGGCUGGAGUACCUCAUCAUUAUCUCAACUGCCCUUGCCUGCUGGCCUGGAGGAUGAGGCUGGGACUGAAUUCUGGGCUUGGCCUGUCUCCACUGAGUCUGGCUGGCCGCCCUGCCUGUUGGCAGCUUGGAGUGUGGGUGCCGAGCUGGGCAUCUGGUGGGCUGGCUGGAACUGGAAGACCCUGGGAAAGAUGAGGCCUCGCAACAACCCACAAGAUCUGUGAUGACUGCCCCCACUUUCCAGAUGAGAAGCUGAGGCUCGGAGAUAUUGAGGAAUCUGUUGAGCUUGUUGCUCCACAGAGCUGACAGCUUCCCACAGUGUGUGAGAUGCACCACAGCCAGGGGAGAUCUCGGGAAAAAGAGGCCCUCUUC
rnacentral:lncRNA from 1 species